rnacentral:tRNA from 3 species
UCUUUGAUGAUCUAACGGUUAUGAUUUCCGCUUAUCACGCGGGAGACCGGGGUUCGUCUCCCCGUCAGAGAG